AACGAACGCUGGCGGCAUGCCUAACACAUGCAAGUCGAACGAGACCUUCGGGUCUAGUGGCGCACGGGUGCGUAACGCGUGGGAACCUGCCCUUAGGUUCGGAAUAACUCCCCGAAAGGGGUGCUAAUACCGGAUAAUGUCUUCGGACCAAAGAUUUAUCGCCUUUGGAUGGGCCCGCGUUGGAUUAGCUAGUUGGUAGGGUAAAAGCCCACCAAGGCGACGAUCCAUAGCUGGUCUGAGAGGAUGAUCAGCCACACUGGGACUGAGACACGGCCCAGACUCCUACGGGAGGCAGCAGUGGGGAAUAUUGGACAAUGGGCGAAAGCCUGAUCCAGCAAUGCCGCGUGAGUGAUGAAGGCCUUAGGGUUGUAAAGCUCUUUUACCCGGGAUGAUAAUGACUGUACCGGGAGAAUAAGCUCCGGCUAACUCCGUG
rnacentral:rRNA from 1 species